CGCUGGCGGUAUGCCUUACACAUGCAAGUCGAACGGCAGCAUGGAAGAGCUUGCUCUUCUGAUGGCGAGUGGCGAACGGGUGAGUAAAGCAUCGGAACGUACCGUGUAGUGGGGGAUAACGUAGCGAAAGUUACGCUAAUACCGCAUACGCACUGAGGUGGAAAGCAGGGGAUCGCAAGACCUUGCGCUAUACGAGCGGCCGAUGUCAGAUUAGCUAGUUGGUAGGGUAAAGGCCUACCAAGGCGACGAUCUGUAGCGGGUCUGAGAGGAUGAUCCGCCACACUGGGACUGAGACACGGCCCAGACUCCUACGGGAGGCAGCGGUGGGGAAUUUUGGACAAUGGGCGAAAGCCUGAUCCAGCCAUGCCGCGUGAGUGAAGAAGGCCUUCGGGUUGUAAAGCUCUUUCGGCUGGGAAGAAAUCGCACAGGCUAAUACUCUGUGUGGAUGACGGUACCAGCACAAGAAGCACCGGCUAACUACGUG
rnacentral:rRNA from 1 species